GCCGACCACAGGAGAUCUGGCUCCUUCACCAGGCGAAAAAGAAUUAGGAUGUCGACACCGGCAAUUUACCAACGAAUCACACACCAAUGCCAGAGCUUGCUGUCUUUAUACAGACUGCCUGGGAGUCAGAUGGAGGUACAGGCAAGACCAACUUUCAACGUGUUUUUGAACUACCUGUGUCAAGACUGCCUCCGUGGAGACCGAGAGUGUGCUCUUCAGACAAGAAUUGGGGGUCACUCUCCUGUACUUAGAGGUGUGAGGGUCAUCUUUCCCGUCUAUGGAACUAAACAGUUGACCGCACACUCCUCUCCCCCUUUAUUACUUAGUCACGUCUCUUCCAUUCUUAGCAUCAGGACAACUCCAGGUAGGUUGACCAACUGUAAUUUCAGCAAAUAGAGAGUGACACUGGGUUACCUGUGUCCACUCCCAUCACCCAUGCUAGAUCUGAACAUUACAUUAGGAGACAGAGAACUGGGGAAACAAGGCAGGCUGCAGAAAACGACGGGCGAACGUGAAGGCAAGCAGAGGAGAGUGAUAUGGAUGGAUGUAUCAUACUUUGGGCUUUCAAUCAAGAACUUUACAGCAUAAAGUGACUCUUUCUAAAGUAGCCCAUGGACUCGCCAACUCAGCUCUCUGACUCUGGCAAUGGGGGGGGGCACCUGAAUGCAUUCCCUGCACAGCUGGUAGCUGGUCUUGAGUACCUAACUACUUCCAGCACCCUGGGGACAUAAAGGAUUCUUUAAAACGAGAUCAAGAAACACAGACAUGUUUAAAAUGUCA